GAUGAACGCUGGCGGCGUGCCUCAAACAUGCAAGUCGAGCGGGGCUAUGUAAUAUCGCAAGGUAGAACAUAGCCUAGCGGCGAACGGGUGAGUAACACGUGGGUAACCUGCCUGGAAGACAGGGAUAACGAUUCGAAAGGGUCGCUAAUACCUGAUAAUAUCCUUUCAUCGCAUGGUGAUAGGAAGAAGGGGAAACCCGCUUUCAGAUGGGCCCGCGUCCCAUCAGCUAGUUGGUAAGGUAAAGGCUUACCAAGGCGACGACGGGUAGCCGGUCUGAGAGGAUGUACGGCCACACUGGGACUGAGACACGGCCCAGACUCCUACGGGAGGCAGCAGUAGGGAAUAUUGCGCAAUGGACGAAAGUCUGACGCAGCGACGCCGCGUGAGCGAUGAAGGUCUUCGGAUCGUAAAGCUCUGUCCUUGGGGAAGAAGGCGAAAGCUUGACGGUACCCAAGAAGAAAGCCCCGGCUAACUACGUGCCAGCAGCCGCGGUAAAAGUAC
rnacentral:rRNA from 1 species